rnacentral:miRNA from 3 species
CAGAUCAGAAGGUGAUUGUGGC